AUUUUGGUCCCUAUCUCAAAUGGGGAUCUAAAUGAACUUUGAAAGGACAGGCUAUUUACAACAUAUCUUAAACGUGAACCUUGUUAACGCUGGUUUAAUUUAUUACCCUCUGCAGAGAAUAGCCCACAUAGACUGGCAGGACUGGAUAAAGUCUCCUUGUGCCACAGAAUCCCACUGAACCGCAGUUAUCUCAAAUUCCAUCACCCUUACCGUGUACGUGAUGGUUUCUUCAGUGUCCUGUGACUUGACCAACGCCAGAGUCAGCAUAGUUAGGAAAAGGGCUUUCAACAUCAUGAAUCUCAAAUAAAACACAGUACAAACCGAUGCUUAGCAUCCGCAGCGGAGGAAAAUAAAACUUCAGCUGUAAAGUAACAAGCAAGCAAGGUAGAGAAGGUGGAGAAAGCUGAGGCUCCUUCAUACACAACUUCUUCUAAUCUACUUCUCAUCUCCCCACCCCCUCCUCAACUUUCCCUUGGCCAAACGGGACACCAAAGGCUGAAGACGGCUGCAGAAUUACAUUUCGAUUUACACUGUCCGGCUACGAAUAUACACAAAAGCUGUAAGGGGGUGGUGCCAAAGGAAGACAAAGAUGGCAUUUUCUGGGCUUUCAACAGUUCUUCAUCUUUCAGUAGUGUUGCCUGGGAAGGGCCACAGAAAAUUCUAAUCUGGAUGUCCACAGAAGGCAGCCAAUUGUGAGCCUGGGGCUACUAUUUAUUGGGGGUGCUGCUAGUAUGUCUCUGGUUACUUUGACUCUCAGUGACUUCAUAGGGCUUCUUGGUGGCAUAUGAAAUUUUUAUUGGCCUGAUUUGAGUCUUUCCACACUUCUUAGCACAUCCAUUUGGGUGCAGAGGAUAAUAAAGUUAUUUGACAGAAUGAGGGUGGCCAUCUAGCUAUUUGUUCUGAGUAAUAGAGUAAAACCUGCUCUCAAGUUGAGGUUUCCUUGCAACAAAAGGCUUCCUCCAGCAAUGGAAGAGUUAGGUCAGCCUCUUGAGCCUGGCUGUCUCAUAGAAAUGGAUUUCUAAUGGAAAUCUUAACUUUUAAGGCCAAGACUGAAAUUUUGAUUUCUAGCAUUAAGGAGGCUCAGUCAAGAAUUAUCCAUGGGGAUGAUCUCAGGAGGAGUCCUUUUCUCAGGGAACUGUCAGAUAGUAAGGAAAACCAGGAAAUCAGUAGAGAAAUCAUUUGACCUCUGGACUUAUGCCACUGUGGCAGGCACUGGGGCUGGGUGGUGGUAGGACCUGUGGAACUACAAGUCUACACCUGGGGAGCAAGCCAGAGAUGCUUAGAGAACAUUCAGUACAA
rnacentral:lncRNA from 1 species